rnacentral:lncRNA from 1 species
GGGGGGGGGGGGAUGCAAAUGCUGGUGGGGGGAGCCAGGCACUCAGGGGGAGGCACGCUUUCUUGCCUGAAUUUAGGAAAUCACACAGAAAAAGAUGCAUCCGAGCCUUGGUAUUGAAGCUCUGCCAAGUCGUCCUCCACUGACAUGUCCUGAUCAGAGCCGUUUGCCCUGCACGAAAAGAAUCCGCUUUCUAUCAAGUGGACUCUGGGCUCUGCCCCAGAGGCUUGCGCUCCAAAGGACCAGAAGAAUCUAAAUCCAAUCACCUGUCAAGGGGCUGGCCUCCCCUGCUUUGAUGAUGACUUCUCCAUGGUGUGAUCUGCGCGGGAGGGGUGAGUCCGGAAGACUUCCUGUGGAAUCUCAGGGAUAUCAUCUUCCCCAGCUGUGACCGAGCACACUCACCUCUAAAACAGGAUGGACAGCACACAGCACGCCCAUAAUGUGGGUAGACCUCACGAGGACUCAGGACUUCAAGUUCACUUCUAUUAUUCUGUAAAUGGAUAUAUCAAGAGACCUGGCACCAAAUCCUGCAAGGAACCAAGGGCUCUUGGGCCACAUGGAGAUGUUUGAUCAUUUCCUCGUCCAUUCAUUCAACAAACAUUUACUGAUUAUCGACCACGUGCCAGCUCCGUGCUAGGGUCAGGAUAAAGAAGCAAAUGGGAAAAACACCCUCCUGCCUUCUGUUUAAAUGCCAUUUCCUCAAGAAGUGCUUUCCUAACCAUCCCUUAUAUAUACUCCUUUUGGGUAAACAGCAUUGUACUUUGGUUACUUGAUCCACUUCUGUUUUCCCCAUGUGACAGCUUCAGGAGGGGAGGGAUCAUUUCUACAUUCAUCGAAUGCAUCUGUACCAACCCUGGCUAAACAUGGCCCCAGGUAAUAUGUGUUGACUGAAUUCAUCUGUUCCCCACGGAGUGGACUGGAAGUCAGGAUGGCUUCCUUUCCUGUGAUCCUCCUGAGUUUAGGAAAUCUAGCUUCUGUGGGUGUGAAUCCCAAGCAGGGAUUGCUCUGCUCCCGAGCCGGUUGGGAUCAGAUGACGGCUAAGAUGCCUCCAGCCCAAAGCCAGCAAUUCUAGGACAGACUGGGACUCUGGAUGCCUGAAUAGUAGUGGGGUAAUUGGAGUAUGGCGUACAGGCCAGGUAAGAAGUACAUUCAGUGUCCAGGCUCUGGUCCUGACCCCUCUUUAGGAGAGAAAUAAAGCAAUGGACUGAGAGUUCA